rnacentral:rRNA from 1 species
GAUGAACGCUGGCGGCGUGCUUAACACAUGCAAGUCGAACGAUGAACCUCACUUGUGGGGGGAUUAGUGGCGAACGGGUGAGUAACACGUGAGUAACCUGCCCUUGACUCUGGGAUAAGCCUGGGAAACCGGGUCUAAUACUGGAUACGACCUUCUGGCGCAUGCCAUGUUGGUGGAACGCUUUUGUGGUUUUGGAUGGACUCGCGGCCUAUCAGCUUGUUGGUGGGGUAAUGGCCUACCAAGGCGACGACGGGUAGCCGGCCUGAGAGGGUGACCGGCCACACUGGGACUGAGACACGGCCGAGACUCCUACGGGAGGCAGCAGUGGGGAAUAUUGCACAAUGGGAGCAAGCCUGAUGCAGCGACGCCGCGUGAGGGAUGACGGCCUGCGGGUUGUAAACCUCUUUCAGUAGGGAAGAAGCCGGCUUUUGGGUUGGUGACGGUACCUGCAGAAGAAGCGCCGGCUAACUACGUG